GGGAGCGGCCGGCGGAGGCCGGCGCCUGGGUGCGCGGGGCUGUCGGCGGCGGCUCGGGAGCGCUACACGCGGAUCCUGGCUGCGGCAGUGGCGGGCGAGGGUUGUGGUGACAGUGGAAGAGGGCGGGAGCUGCUGUGGCUGCAGCGAGGUUGAAGGAGCAGUCGUGAGAAUUUUCCCAUUUGGAGGUGGGCUCCAGAAGAAAGGAACCUGAAGCUGCUUCUUCUGAUAAAUCUGAGUCACUGAGGCUGCGAAUUGCAAUCCAGAUCAUCUUCUGGCUUCUGGUGCUUGGGGCUGCGGCAUUUGGUGUGCAGAAAACAUCCGAGGCUGUCCACAUAGGGACUGGAUGUGCAUUUCCACAGUUCCUCAGAAUGGGAAAGGGCCAAGAGAGUGGUGGGAAGGGCUUUCUCUCAGGCCUGGGCAUCCUCAAGACACCUCAAGAUUGGUUUUUAAAUAUUUGUUGUCUUUUGUUUCUCAGCUCAGGGCUAAGCUGGAGAGAGUAGCAAGGGGGACUCCCAUGUUAAGAUCCAUGCUUGGAUUCCAUGUUCUCCUGGUGGUUCUGUCCAAAGGAAGGAGAUCUUGGGGGUACCUGUUUGCUCACUUAUUGAGCUUGGAAGAGAUGGUUGAGCAUGAAAUUCCAGGGAAGCUGCACUUGUGUAGUGGUUGGAGUGAGAAGCAUCUUGCCUGACUUCCCCCAGCUGGCACGUGCUGUGGUCAUUUCUUCUCUGGGUCCUUGUUUUCCUCUUUGUCUCUGUAUCCCUCUGUCCUUGCUGUGUGUUUGGCGCUCCUUUUCUCUGUCCUUCUCUGUGCCUCACUCGUGUUCCUGUUUUAUUCUCUGUGGCUUUGGAUGCCACUGUUUCCCACGGGGUCCUUGUGUCUUGUUUGCUGUUCUUUUUUAAUCCCUCUCUGUUGUGGGAUCUGCCCGUCCCAGGUUUUGGUUGUUUUUAUUUUUUUCAAUUUCAUCUUGCACCCCUUCUUCAUUUUCUCCCUCUGUCCUCUCUGCUGCCACUCGCUCUUUCUGCCCCUGUGACAGCGGGGCUGAGGAGGGACUGCAACCCUUCUGGGGGCUGUCGCCCUUUCUUGUUGCAGCAGAGUCCCUUUUUGGGAAAUGUACACAUGGGAUGAGCUGGAAUAAAGCACCGUGCUGCUGUCCAGGACAA